AUAUACAGUAAAAAAAAAAAAAAAAUAAAUAAAUAAAAAUAAAAAAAAAUAAAAAAAUAAGCUAUAUAAAAAUACCCUUGCCCUUAAAAAAAGUAUAAAGUAAAUAAAAAAAAUGCUUAGCAAUGUAAAUAAAAUAAAAUACUUAAAAAAUAACUUAUAUAAAGAUAAAAUAAAAAAAAAAAAAAAAAAAUAACAUUUAAAAAUACAUAUAGCAAUAUAUAUAAUGAAAAAGUAGCAUUUUCUUAUAAAAAUAAAAAACUAAUACAAAUUAUUACUUUUUUUAUUAAAGAUAAAUCCUUUUUUUUAAUUAAAGGCAAUGUAGAAGGGGUAGAAAGUGAGGAUGGUGAAAAGAUCAAAAAGAGCAAACUGAAUAAACAAAACAAUUUGUUAUAUAUUGAGAGAGCACAAUGUCAUCCCAUUAAAUAUAAUAACAGUCCGAAAGAAAAUGUAUACACAUGUAACGACUAUAGGAGUAAAAACUAUAGUUGUAGUAGUAUUAAAAAUAAUGGAAAUAGUUUGGAACACAUAUAUGAUAAAAAACGUAAUAAAUUUGAAUAUGACAUUGGAAAUAAUGGAAUAAAUAAAUACGCUAGCAAGUUACAACAGCUAGAUCAUAAACACUUUGAAAAAAACAGGUAUUCAAUUAACAAUGGAAAAAAAAGUAAGUCGGUAAAAACGCUAGAACUUAAAAAAUGUAAUCAAAAUAUGUGUGAUAAUAAAUUGAUAUCUAAAGAGAUUAAAUUAGAACAACAAAAAAAAAAGGAACAUGAUAUACAAGGAAAGAAAAUUGAAAAUGAGAUAUUAAAAAAAAAAAACUUAUGUACCCAUAAAAAAACGUUUGAUAAAAUGUGGACUCAAACGAAGCCUCACAACAUUAUUAAUUUUGAUAAAUAUAUUAAUGAUUAUGAAACAAAUGUUAAUGGUAAAAAUAAAAUAAUUCUCAAAUAUGAAUUGAAUGGUACUGAUAGUAUAUUGACAAUUUUAAAAAAGUGCGAAGAAUAUAACUAUGUAAAUUUUAAUUUAUUUGAUGACAUGUGCAAUACUAUCUUAUUAAAAAAUAGUAAUAAUAAUAGU
rnacentral:lncRNA from 1 species